rnacentral:siRNA from 1 species
AGUCGAGUGAGUGAUCGAGUG